rnacentral:rRNA from 1 species
UACAGAGGUCUCAAGCGUUGUUCGGAUUCAUUGGGCGUAAAGGGUGUGUAGGUGGCGCCGUAAGUCGGGGUGUGAAAUUUCGGAGCUUAACUCCGAAACUGCAUUCGAUACUGCGGUGCUUGAGGACUGGAGAGGAGACUGGAAUUCAUGGUGUAGCAGUGAAAUGCGUAGAUAUCUGGAGGAACACCCGUGGCGAAGGCGGCUCUCUGGGACGGUACUGACGCUGAGACGCGAAAGCGUGGGGAGCGAACAGG